rnacentral:rRNA from 1 species
UACGGGGGGGGCAAGCGUUGUUCGGAAUUACUGGGCGUGAAGGGUUUGUAGGUGGCCAACUAAGUCAGACGUGAAAUCCCUCAGCUUAACUGGGGAACUGCGUCUGAUACUGGUUGGCUUGAGUGCAGGAGAGGAACGCGGAAUUCCAGGUGUAGCGGUGAAAUGCGUAGAUAUCUGGAGGAACACCGGUGGCGAAGGCGGCGUUCUGGACUGCAACUGACACUGAGAAACGAAAGCCAGGGUAGCAAACGGG